CGAUCGCCACGGUGCUGGCAGNCACCCCUUCCCAUCCCGAACAGGUCCGUGAAACGACUCCGCGCCGAUGAUAGUGCGGAUUACCCGUGUGAAAGUAGGUCAUCGCCAGGCU
rnacentral:rRNA from 1 species